CGGGCGCCCGUCGGGAUGAGGCGGGGGGGCUGCGCCGCGCCGUUCAUGGAAGAGAUGUCGGGAGAAAGUGUGGUGAGCUCAGCAGUGCCGGCGGCUGCGACUCGCACGACCUCCUUCAAAGGGACGAGUCCGAGCUCCAAGUACGUCAAACUGAACAUUGGUGGUGCCCUCUACUACACCACCAUGCAGACCCUGACCAAGCAGGACACCAUGCUCAAGGCCAUGUUCAGUGGCCGAAUGGAAGUCCUGACCGACAGCGAAGGCUGGAUCCUGAUCGACCGCUGUGGAAAACAUUUUGGGACGAUACUGAACUACCUGCGGGACGGGGCUGUGCCGCUCCCCGAGAGCCGCAGGGAGAUCGAAGAGUUGUUGGCGGAAGCAAAGUACUACCUGGUGCAGGGGCUGGUGGACGAGUGCCAGGCAGCCUUGCAGCAGAACAAAGAUGCGUAUGAACCGUUCUGCAAGGUACCAGUCAUCACGUCUUCCAAAGAGGAGCAAAAACUUAUAGCCACUUCUAACAAGCCAGCAGUGAAGCUGCUAUAUAACAGAAGCAACAACAAGUAUUCCUACACCAGCAACUCCGACGACAACAUGCUGAAGAACAUCGAGCUGUUCGACAAGCUGUCCCUGCGGUUUAACGGGAGGGUGCUCUUUAUAAAAGAUGUGAUUGGAGAUGAGAUCUGCUGCUGGUCUUUUUACGGGCAGGGCCGGAAGAUUGCCGAAGUCUGCUGCACUUCCAUUGUUUAUGCUACUGAGAAAAAACAGACAAAGGUGGAGUUCCCAGAGGCCCGCAUUUACGAGGAGACACUGAACAUUCUGCUCUACGAGUCCCAGGACGGGAGGGGCCCCGACAACGCGCUCUUGGAAGCCACGGGAGGGGCAGCCGGUCGCUCCCAUCACUUGGAGGAGGACGAGGAGCGGGAGCGCAUCGAGCGCGUGCGAAGGAUUCACAUCAAACGCCCGGAUGACAGGGCCCACCUGCACCAGUGAGCCCAGGGCCAGCCCCAGACUGCGCAGCUCUGCCCGGAGGGGGCUGCCCUGCCUCUGACCCGUCCCCUGCAGCGGAGGACCAGGCGGUUUAACUUCUGUUCAGCAAAGUCUGUAAAUUACGUUUUGUAACAAACUAGAUUAUUUGGGGUAUUUAAAUGCAGUAGUUCUAGGACAAGAAUAAAUAAGGUUGCUGGGCAUGUGAUAGACACUGUAAGGACCUAUUGAGCAUCGGGAGAAAUGCCCUGAAUUUUUAGCGCUCGUCUUCGCUAUUUUGUGGCUAGAGAGGAAGAGGGCUGGCUUCCUUUGGAUUUAGUAAUUAUUCUGCACUUUAAAAACAAAACAAGAACAAACAAAGGUCGGUCAGCCGUAGCUCUUCCCUCCGGGCACUCGUGGGCCCUGUCUCCUGGGCGUGGGGGCGAGGGGGCUGGUAGCUCAGGAGUGACUCCCCAAAGGACAAAUGACACGUCUUGGCUCGAUUCCUGCAGUGCCGGGGGGCAGAGGGAGCCCUGGAGCUGCUUGGGCUCAGCUGGUUGUGGCUCCCUCCAGCUCCUCGAGGGGUUCAGUGGAGCUUCUGUGGUCCUGGGUGUUGGAGACGCACCCAGUGCAGCUCGAGGCUGGAGGAUGUUAAAUUUCUCCAAAAGCAGGGUCGGGAGCAAAUUGUAUGGAAUUGCUGUUCCUUAGGGUGGUGUUGGUACCGUUGUGUGCUUCUGCCCGACGCUGGGUCUCAGCUGGGGAGUUUAUUUCCAUGGGGUCAGUAAGUUGCACGUUCUCUACUACAGGUAGAGCGCUACUCGCUGCCGGUUCCACCGCGGCCCCGGGUCAUUCUGUAACUGAUCCAGGAGCAUCGUCUUGCUCUGAGCGAGGGCAGCGCAAGUUACGCGCGGAGGAGGAGUAGACGGGGGCCCAGCAGCAGUUACUCCUUGUUCAGCUUCAUCCUGAGCGUGUUCCAAGCCUUUUCAGAAAUGGCAGCUGCGUGUGGAAGGGCAGAGCUGAAGCGUUGUGUAGAGGAGAGCUCCGCGGUUUAGUUUUCUACGCGUACUUUUCUAUUAUGAAUAUUUUAUCUACCUCCUCGUCUCUUGUUGCCUAUUGUGGAGUCAAGUAACAGUUGCAGUGGGAGAUCGGGUGUUACUCGGUGGUAACGCCGAGCGCUGAGCCCCGGCUGUAACGGUUCAUGUAACAAACCCUGACAGGGAGAGAAACCCCAUGGAGCAAGUCUUAAACUCGCGCUCGGGCCGGCACCAUGGCAGGGCCCAGAGGACUGUGGCCUAGUCUGGAGCUUUUUUUUGGCCCUUCAUCUGGGCUGUGUAGCGCUGGCCUUGGGGCCAGGCCUCCCGUCCAGAGCAGCAGCUCCGUGUGCCUGUUCCUCAGCGAGGUGGGUGUUUGUUUUUGCCCAGCCGCCCGCUGCGAGGACUCCGACUCCUGCCUCAGGGCUGUUCACCUGAACAGUUUAAAAACCAAAGGUGUUGCCAACAUCACCAGCUCCGUUGUUACUCCAACGCUUCUUUUUCGCGCAGCAGUUACACCCCAGACGAUGUUUAGCUUGUCUGUAGACACUAAAAUAAAGCAUAAAGUGCUCAGUGGUACAAUUGUGGAUCAUCAAGUAAAGCUGUAAUGAUUUCAAAGUUAGGCUGAGGUCAUCUUUCUAGUAGCCAAAGACUUUUUUGAGUUACAGGCAGCUGCUGUGUGUGACAGAUGGGGUGGUGGUACCCAUCUCCUCUACUCUUUCUUCUUCAGCUACUAAGAGCUCAACAGUGAACCCUUACCCUGUAGUUCAGCAGCUUCAGCGACGUCCUGACGGUUCCGGGCUUGUAGUUUAAGCUGCCUUUCCACGCGCUCGCAACACGCUCCGGGUUUGUGAAGUCCAGAGUGCAGGUUGCUGCGGUGAAGGACCCGGCGCCUCUCCCUCCCCGUCCUUCCGUGCUAACCAGGGAGCAGCAGGAAAAGCCUCCGUGCGCUCCAGUCCUCUGGACUUUGACCUUUUCCGGGCACGUUUUGGGGCUGGUUGUGGCAUUCUGAGCCCUCGGAGGGGUCUGGGCUGUGCAGGUGCAGCUUCCCAGGGCUGGAGGUGAAGGUUUUUCCAAGCCAGCCCUUCCCUCAUUUAUGGUUUUGCUUCCACUGCACUGUGUGCAGGGAAAACCAGGACAGCGUUAUGCUAAAAGCAAAGAUCUUUCCCCCUGACAGAAUCAACGAGCAGCUUUCUGUGUCACAAGAGCCCCAGCCCUACUGCACAUUUAGCCAUCCCUCCCCUUGCCGAAGGAUGAGCUUUGCCCGUCUGCCUGAGAGAAAAGGUGUUUUCAGGCCUGGUCUGUGCUUGAGGCAGUUCUGGGGAGCUGUGACUCAAGGUACAGCUGGAGAAACCAUUUUUUGGGUCUAUCUUAAUCCUUCCUGACUGGUCAGAGCUCCCGGCUUUACCGAGCACACGGAGACAGACAUUUUAGGUGUGGAACUGCAACUUUGGGUUUAAACAUUUCCCUGUGACAGUGUAAUGAGCAUCUGUGCUCACUGGAAUGUUACAGCAUCAUAAUGGAAUUUAUUUAGCUAUAGUCGAAUAGUUUUAAACUAUUAAAAAAAAA